UAAGUGUGGAAAACAUCAAAGAUAAAUAAACUUAUAUGGAAAACAUAUCGUUCGUCAUUGUUCGUUUGUAUCAAAAUCGCAGGUAUUUCAAUAAAUACGUUAGGAUAUAAUAAAUACCGAUUAAAAUGUUUUAAUGGAGGAUUUUUGAAAAUAUUUGGAUUAUUCUACUCAUUCAGGCCAUUAUAGAGAUGACAUGGAAGAGCACACUUUAAAAUGGAUACUAAGUUCACGUUUUAAUGGAGGAUUUAAGAAAAUAUUUGGAUUAUUCUACUCAUUCAGGACAUUAUAGAGAUGAGAUGGAAGAGUGCACUGAAAAUGGAUACUAAGUUCACUCAAAGAUGAUUAAAAUAUAUUCCAACAAUUAAAGAUAAUUCAUUCAAGGAGAUAUAUCA